rnacentral:tRNA from 1 species
AGCGGGGUAGAGGAAUUGGUCAACUCAUCAGGCUCAUGACCUGAAGACUGCAAGUUCGAAUCCUGUCCCCGCCU